UACGGGGGGUGCGAGCGUUGUCCGGAAUUACUGGGCGUAAAGGGCUCGUAGGCGGCCAACUAAGUCAGACGUGAAAUCCCUCGGCUUAACCGGGGAACUGCGUCUGAUACUGGAUGGCUUGAGUUUGGGAGAGGGAUGCGGAAUUCCAGGUGUAGCGGUGAAAUGCGUAGAUAUCUGGAGGAACACCGGUGGCGAAGGCGGCAUCCUGGACCAACACUGACGCUGAGUGAGCGAAAGCCAGGGGAGCAAACGGG
rnacentral:rRNA from 1 species